ensembl:lncRNA
AGAAGAGCCUUCCUUAAGAGGGUCGCUUUUUCUCCUUAGAUUCACACACUGCACAUUUUAAUUGAUUGAGAAUAUGUUUAAAAGACAAGUGGUGAUUUCCAGUCACAAGGUCAGAGAGCAGAGAAACACGCGUAAAUCCCACGUUUAUUAGAUCCAUAAAUAUAGUUCCCUCUACACCCAGAGCCUUUAAUUUCUAAGAACCCAGCCCUCGGAGCUGGGCUGCUGGAAUCCCUGGCCAGGGCCGUCUGCGGAAACAUGAGUUCAGUUACCAAAUAUAGCUGAGUGGAGGACAGGACAGAUGGGAUCUGAGGCCACAGUUGCCUCAAAGUGACCACGGACCGAGCAGUGUGUCACGAGGAGACGAGGCCACCUCUGCUCCCCCGGGAAAGAAGAAACGGUCCUCUGAGAGCCAUCACCUCUGGGGGGUCCUCGAGGAGCCAAGGAUCGAAAAGUGGGACAGCCGUGGUCUGUGGACACCAAUGGCAGCCUGCAAACACCCAUCCAGCCCGUCCCGCUUCACUUGUUCCCUAACAACUUUGGAAGAUGAUCCGACAGAUGAAAACACAUUACAAUUUCCCAAGAUCAACUGACAAAAGAUUGGCUACCAAACCAAGCCUAAGAAAUCAGAAGCUGACAUUUUCUGUUUCCUAGUUUUUGCGUGUGUUUACAGUCACGCAGUCAUGUCUGACUCUUCGCGACCCCAUGGACUGUAGCCCACCAGGCCCCUCUGUCCAUGGGAUUCUCCAGGCAAGAGUACUGGAGUGGGUUGCCAUUCCCUCCUCCAGGGGAUCUUCCCAACCCAGUGAUUGAACCUGGGUCUCCUGCAUUGCAGGCAGAUUCUCCACUGUCUGAGCCAACAGUGGAGCCUUCCACUUUUUAUUUUUCCCUAUUAAAAUGGCAGCUCCUUAGGGCAGAGAAGCCCCCUUUCCUCAUGGCUGUGUCCCCAGCCUGCAAAAGAGGCAUGUAGUAGGCACUCAGAGAAUCAUUGCUGAUGAAUAAGAAAGUAAGGCAGAAACAUGCUUUGACUAAAAACAUUUGUAUUUCUAUGACUGAGAAUUUAACUCUGAACUUGCUGGGACCCAUGAUGAAGGGUAUCAACACUCAAAGAAUUCCCCUCAUCUAAUAGUAGAGGUGCCAGAAAAGGAAUAUCUAUCUGGUUCUGAAU